AAUUAGGUGGCCCAUUAUGGCAAUUGCUAUUCUUGCAGCAGUUGUGGGAAGCCAAGCCGUCAUCACUGGUACAUUCUCAAUGAUCAAGCAGUGCGCUUCUCUGGGCUGCUUUCCUCGGGUGAAGAUAAUCCAUACAUCUGCCAAAGCACACGGGCAAAUAUACAUCCCUGAGAUCAAUUGGAUUAUGAUGAUACUGUGCUUAGCUGUAACCAUUGGUUUUAGGAACACAAAACACUUGGGAAAUGCAUCAGGAUUGGCUAUUAUAACCGUCAUGCUGGUCACAACGUGCCUGAUGUCCCCCGUGAUAGUCUUGUGCUGGCAUAAGAGCAUAUUCCUUGCGAUUGGCUUCAUCCUGUUCUUUGGGACCAUUGAGGCACUGUACUUCUUAGCCGCACUCAUCAAGUUCAUGAGGCACUGUACUUCUUAGCCGCACUCAUCAAGUUCAGGGAGGGAGCCUGGGUCCCAAUCGUUCUUGCUCUCAUCUUCAUCUUGAUAAUGUGCGUCUGGCACUAUGGCACCAUCAAGAAGUACGAGUUUGACGUCCAGAGCAAGGUCUCCAUCAACUGGCUCCUUGGACUCAGCCCGAACCUUGGCAUUGUCCGCGUCCGUGGCAUUGGCCUCAUCCACACCGAGCUCGAAACCGGCAUCCCAGCUAUCUUCUCGCAUUUCGUCACCAACUUGCCUGCCUUUCACCAGGUAGCCUCAAUUCGUCCUUGUCCAAUUGAUGGUUCCAUUGUCCAAAGCUGAGACAGAGGCGAAUGGUGCACGGUUCUGCCGGUUCCGCAUCCCGCCAGAUUGGGACGAAUUCGACAUCGGCUCCACCAAAGGCUCCACGGAUUCGGCAUCGGCUCCACGGAUUUUCGGUACCCAUGCUUUGUUUAGCCAGUGAUUUUGGUGCUGGUAGGAUUUUGGUAAUAGUCCAUGGUGGAAAAAGUUAUAGCUGAAAAGCUCUAUUUUCAGUUUUCCAUCGAACAUCAUUUUGAUAGGUUGAAGAGCCAAGGCUGACAUAUUUGUCUAAAAAUGAGAAUUAUAUAUGUCAAAAUAAAUAUUGCUUUACUAGCCUGAAAUAUCCGAAAUGUCACACUACACCAUAAUAAAGAACAGAGCUUAACAAAGCAAGAACACAUUAAACCAAGUAGUUAUUAUUUGCAGCUCCUUUAGGCUACAGAGGGGGGCAAAGUCAUGUUAUAUUUUAAGUAAACGAAAGAAAACAAAACAAAGGAGGUGUGUGUUCAAAAAAGAACUACAUGCAUUUACCUCGUUUUUUGUUUCAUUUUAUUCUAUAUUUUUUCACACUUUAUUGUAGGUGGUUCGAAGUUCUAUGAUCAUAAGACGCAUUCAGGUCGAUCUCACUCUUCAUGUUCGUCCCCGCUGCGCAGAACGCCACUGCAGCACCGAUGGAAUCGUACGGUGUCAUCAGGCUCGACUAGAUCUAGAUGGGAUGGACUCUACUUGUGUUGAAGGAGAGGAAGCACGUGUUUGGCUUGCGGGGAGCGGGGACAUAUUUCUGUUCAACUUUUCUUAUGGGUUAUGUUACUUGUCAUGUCAGAUUAUACAACUUUAGGUAUUUAUGUCUUUGUGAGAAAAGUACCAAAAUAUUUUUACUGCAUGGCUA